UUUAUAUGUGGUGCUGAGGAUCGAAUCCAGCGCCCCGCACAUGCCAGGCGAGCGCUCUACCUCUGAGCCACCUCCCCAGCCCAUGGAAAGAUAUUUUUUAAUUCUGUAAUUCAAAGUGGACAGUUUCCCCCCAGUACUUUAAAGAUGCUGUUCCGUCAUUCCCUGGUGCAUUAUUUACGACAGGAAGUCUGCUGUCAUGUCUUUCUUGGUUCCUCUGUAUGUAAUGUCUCAUGGCUUUGAAGAUUUCCUUCUUAUCACUGGUUUGAGCUAUUUGAUUAUAACAAGCCUUAGUAAUUUUCUUCAUGUUUCUUGUGCUUGGGGCUUAUCGAGAUUCUCGGUUCUGGGAACUUAUAGUAUAAAAUUCUGAAUAAUUUUGGCCAUUAAUUUAUUAAAUAUUUUUUUUCGGUUCCCACCUCCCUCUUUCCUCUAGGACUUCAACCACACAUGUCAGACCCCUUGAAGAUCACUGAAUAUAUUGAAAUGGGUUAAUAGCAAGUGAGUUAACUUGAAGACACACAAAUAGAAAUACAGAAAGAAAAAAAAAGACUUAGAAAAUGAACCUGAAAACUCCUUUUUUUUUUUGAAUCCAGGGGCACUUAACCACUGAGCCACAUCCCCAGCCUUUUGUUAUAUUUUAUUUAGAGACAAGGUCUCACUAAAUUGCUUAGGGCCUUGCUAAGUUGCUGAGGCUGGCUUUGAACUUGUGAUCCUCCUGCCUCAGCCUCCUGAGCCACUGUGAUUACAGGCUUGUCCUACCAUGCCUUGCUUGAACCUGUAAACUCUCGAGAGACCAUGAAACAGAACCACUCAGCCUUGCUACAACCCAUUCCUGACCCAAAAAAGACUUGA
rnacentral:lncRNA from 1 species